UCUCCGUAGGUGAACCUGCGGAGGGACCAUUCAGGAAGCAGGCGCUCCGUCGCCCUUCUCUACCUUCAACCAUGUGGUCUUCUGCCAUUGCCUCGGGGGGGUGUGAAGCGGCCCUGGCCGCGGGGUCCUCGCUGGCCCGGCCCCCCCGGCGUGCCUAAAGUCUUGGAGUGAUGAUUGUGCCUGAUCAGUCCGGUGGACAGAAUGAAUUAAAACUUUCAACAACGGAUCUCUUGGCUCUC
rnacentral:misc_RNA from 1 species